CAUAAACUUUUCUUUAAAAGACUGUUGUUUCUCCUCUCAGUACCGUUGUCCAAUAAUCUCAGUCCAUUCGGGAGUCGAGCCGGUCAUUGUCUGACGUGCCCGGGACAGGCAUUUUGGCGCAAAGCAGAUGUUGAAUUGAUUCGUGUUGUAUUAACAGAUCGGUUAGGCUAUUCUGUCUUCUUCUUGUUGUUGUGAGUCAUUUUCUUGCAUCAAAAGAGAGACAGUCUACCAGAUCAUUCCGACUUCAAAAAACUACAAAAUGGCACUUCAGAAUAAAAUCCUUCAUCUGAGCUGCAGGAGAGUUUUGGGAGAAGUGUUCAAUAAGAGGUUUGUCAGUAAUUCUCCUGCGCUGCUCAAAUCUGCAACCAGCGAGUCGAUCUGCGCGACCGGAGAAGAGACUUUCCCGGAGGGUUUGAUCACACCGGGGACCGGGGCGGACGUGGUCGGUAAGGAGACCCGGAUCAAGAGUCUGAAAGAGAUGCCGGGACCGAGCGCCAUCGCCAACCUGAUGGAGUUCUUUUACCGGGACGGUUUCAGUAGAAUCCACGAGAUACAGAUGGAACACUCUCAGAAGUAUGGAAAGAUCUUUAAGUCUCGUUUCGGCCCCCAGCUGGUUGUGUCUAUCGCAGGGCGGGAUCUGGUUGCCGAGGUGCUGAGGACGGAAGGUGUGGCCCCGCAGAGAGGCAACAUGGAGUCCUGGAAGGAGUACCGCGACCUGAGGGGCCGAUCUACCGGACUUAUCUCAGCGGAGGGUGAGGAAUGGUUGAAGAUGCGCAGUGUCCUCCGUCAGCUGAUCAUGAGACCGAAGGACGUGGCUCAGUUCUCUGACGAUGUGAAUGCUGUGGUGGGGGACCUGGUGAAGAGAGUGGUUACGCUGAGGAGAGGGCAGACAGACGGACUCCACCGUGCUCAAUAUUAACGAUCUGUUUUUCAAAUACGCAAUGGAAGGUAUGGCAGCCAUCUUGUACGAGGACCGUCUGGGCUGCUUGGAGAAUGAGGUUCCUCAGAAGAGCCAGGACUACAUCGCAGCCCUGCACCUGAUGUUUAGUUCCUUUAAGAUGACCAUGUACGCCGGAGCCAUCCCUAAGUGGCUCAGAACCAUCAUCCCCAGACCCUGGGACGAGUUCUGCAGCUCCUGGGACGGACUCUUCAGUUUCAGCCAGAUCCAUGUCGAUAAGCGUCUGGGGGAGAUCCAGGAUCUGGUGUCCCGAGGAGAGACAGUGAAGGGGGGUCUUUUAACUCACAUGCUGGUGACCAGAGAGAUGAACCUGGAGGAGAUCUACGCCAACAUGACUGAGAUGUUACUGGCUGGGGUGGACACGACAUCAUUCACCCUGUCCUGGGCCUGCUACCUCUUGGCCCGUCACCCUGAGGUCCAGCAGGAGAUCUACGAGGAGGUGAAGAGGACUCUGGGACACGGGACCAUCCCCCACCGCUGAUGACGUCCCUCGUCUACCGCUCAUCAGAGGACUGGUGAAGGAGACACUAAGAAUGUUUCCUGUUCUGCCGGGCAAUGGGCGUGUUACCCAGGAUGACUUGGUGAUUGGUGGUUACGCCAUCCCCAAAGGGACCCAGUUGGCUCUAUGUCACUACUCUACCUCCAUGGACGAGGAGAAUUUCCCCGGAGCUGAGGACUUCCGUCCAGACCGCUGGAUCAGGAAGGACGCUACGGACCGGGUGGAUAACUUCGGGUCCAUCCCGUUCGGCUACGGCAUCAGGAGCUGCAUCGGCAGGAGGAUCGCUGAACUGGAGAUGCACCUGGCUCUUACACGGCUGAUCCAGAGGUUCCAGAUUGGGCUGUGUCCCGUCACAGAAGAAAUCAAAGCCAAAACCCACGGCCUCCUCUGUCCUGCUGCGCCCAUCAACCUGCAGUUUGCUGACAGACAACCCUAGACCCAAACCCACGGCCUCCUCUGUCCUGCUGCGUCCAUCAACCUGCAGUUUGCUGACAGACAACCCUAGACCAAAACCCACGGCCUCCUCUGUCCUGCUGCGUCCAUCAACCCGCAGUUUGCUGACAGACAACCCUAGACCAAAACCCACGGCCUCCUCUGUCCUGCGCGUCCAUCAACCCGCAGUUUGCUGACAGACAACCCUAGACCAAAACCCACGGCCUCCUCUGUCCUGCUGCGUCCAUCAACCCGCAGUUUGCUGACAGACAACCCUAGACCAAAACCCACGGCCUCCUCUGUCCUGCUGCGUCCAUCAACCCGCAGUUUGCUGACAGACAACCCUAGACCAAAACCCACGGCCUCCUCUGUCCUGCUGCGUCCAUCAACCCGCAGUUUGCUGACAGACAACCCUAGACCAAAACCCACGGCCUCCUCUGUCCUGCUGCGUCCAUCAACCCGCAGUUUGCUGACAGACAACCCUAGACCAAAACCCACGGCCUCCUCUGUCCUGCUGCGUCCAUCAACCCGCAGUUUGCUGACAGACAACCCUAGACCAAAACCCACGGCCUCCUCUGUCCUGCAGCGCCCAUCAACCCGCAGUUUGCUGACAGACAACCCUAGACCAAAACCCACGGCCUCCUCUGUCCUGCUGCGUCCAUCAACCCGCAGUUUGCUGACAGACAACCCAAGACCAAAACCCACGGCUUCCUCUGUCCUGCUACGUCCAUCAACCCGCAGUUUGCUGACAGACAACCCUAGACCAAAACCCACGGCCUCCUCUGUCCUGUCCUAUCUCUAUAGUGUGGAGGUAAAUGGGGGAGUAACUGACAGACCAUAAGGCAGGUUUAUAGUCCGUCCAGCCGCGUCUGUAGGGGAGUAACUGACAGACCAUAAGGCAGGUUUAUAGUCCGUCCAGCCGCGUCUGUAGGGGAGUAACUGACAGACCAUAAGGCAGGUUUAUAGUCCGUCCAGCCGCGUCUGUAGGGGAGUAACUGACAGACCAUAAGGCAGGUUUAUAGUCCGUCCAGCCGCGUCUGUAGGGGAGUAACUGACAGACCAUAAGGCAGGUUUAUAGUCCGUCCAGCCGCGUCUGUAGGGGGAGUAACUGACAGACCAUAAGGCAGGUUUAUAGUCCGUCCAGCCGCGUCUGUAGGGGAGUAACUGACAGACCAUAAGGCAGGUUUAUAGUCCGUCCAGCCGCGUCUGUAGGGGAGUAACUGACAGACCAUAAGGCAGGUUUAUAGUCCGUCCAGCCGCGUCUGUAGGGGAGUAACUGACAGACCAUAAGGCAGGUUUAUAGUCCGUCCAGCCGCGUCUGUAGGGGAGUAACUGACAGACCAUAAGGCAGGUUUAUAGUCCGUCCAGCCGCGUCUGUAGGGGAGUAACUGACAGACCAUAAGGCAGGUUUAUAGUCCGUCCAGCCGCGUCUGUAGGAGAGUAACUGACAGACCAUAAGGCAGGUUUAUAGUCCGUCCAGCCGCGUCUGUAGGGGAGUAACUGACAGACCAUAAGGCAGGUUUAUAGUCCGUCCAGCCGCGUCUGUAGGGGAGUAACUGACAGACCAUAAGGCAGGUUUAUAGUCCGUCCAGCCACGUCUGUAGGGGAGUAACUGACAGACCAUAAGGCAGGUUUAUAGUCCGUCCAGCCACGUCUGUAGACCAUUAGAAGGCGACAAGUGUCUUUUGGCUAAAUCAACAUUACAUUUUUUUGUAUUUUUUUUUAGUCAGGCCGAUUUAUUCUGUAGACCGUCGGUUUUCUUGUCACAGAAACAAAGAAACAAUUUUAAACUUUGACCUUGUCACAGCUUAAAGAAGUUCACAAUUCACAAGACAGAAUUCAGUUUUUAUUUUUGUCACAUUCACAACCGUAAGUCCGUUAUUUUGAAAUGAGUCUGAAGACUAAAGGUCCUAGGUCUAACUGAGUCUCCAUGUUUACUUGUAAGGAAGAGAAUUGGAUGUUCAUCUUUGAUUAGUAGGCUAAUGCCUGACCAGUUUCUAUAAAUUCCUGUCUGUCACGUUAACGAAUUGAGAUGGUGGUUCCAUGUCCUAGAAUAAAGUCACGUCCUGUUGAA